GACGAACGCUGGCGGCGUGCCUAAUACAUGCAAGUCGAACGCAGUGGGGACGGGUGAGUAACACGUGGGUAACCUCCCAUCAGAGGGGAUAACCCUUGGAAACAGGUGCUAAACCGAUACUGAUGGAUGGACUCGCGGUGCAUUAGCUAGUUGGUGGGGUAACGGCUCACCUAGGCCACGAUGCAUAGCCGAACGUAGAGGGUGAUCGGACACACGGGGACUGAGACACGGACAAGACUCCUACGGGAGGCAGCAGUAGGGAAUCUUCAGCAAUGGACGAAAGUCUGACGGAGCAACGCCGCGUGGGUGAAGAAGGUUUUCGGAUCGUAAAACUCUGUUGUUAGAGAAGCGGUAUCUAACCAGAAAGCCACGGCUAACUACGUGCCAGCCGCCGCGGUAAUAC
rnacentral:rRNA from 1 species